rnacentral:tRNA from 1 species
UGGGGUGCAGUUGAGUUGUAGAAGCGCUUGCUUGGCAAGUAUGAGGCCUUGGGUUUAAUUCCCACCUCCACAC